rnacentral:rRNA from 1 species
AUGGCGGAAACCGGAGAGGCCACCGCGACCGCGCGGUCUUCUUCGCCUCUCCACGUCGUGGUGUUCCCGUGGCUCGCCUUCGGCCACAUCAUCCCCUACAUGGAGCUCUCGGAGCAGCUGGCGCGGCGCGGGCACGCCGUCACCUUUGUGUCCACGCCGAGGAACCUCGCCAGGCUGCGGCCCGUCCCCGAGGGCCUCCGCCCCCGCGUCCGCCUCCUCCCCCUGCCAAUGCCGACCGUCGACGGGCUACCCGACGGCGCCGAGUCCACGGCCGACGUCCCGCCCGAGAAGGGCGACCUCCUCAAGGCCGCGUUCGACGGGCUCGCCGCCCCUUUCGCCGGCUUUCUCGCGGGAGCCUGCGCCGGCGACGGCGGGGAGGGCGAGGGCGCGACGGGGUUCGGCAAGAAGCCCGACUGGAUCUUCGUCGACUUCGCGCACCACUGGCUCCCGCGCAUAGCUGAACAGCACAAGGUACCGUGCGCGCUCUUCUCCAUCUUCCCGGCGGUGUUCAUCGCAUUCGCCGGCACGAAGGCGGUGAACGAGGCGCGCCCGCGGGUGACGGCAGAGGACCUGACGGCCCAGCCGCCGUGGAUCCCGUUCCCGACCCCCAUCGCCCACCGCCUUUACGAGGCCGAGCAGAUGGUCUACGUUUUCCGGCCCAACGCCUCCGGCGUAUGCGACGCCUUCCGCUUCUGGGAGACGGAGCGGCAAUGCCCGCUCUUCAUCCUGCGCAGCUGCCGCGAGGUCGACGGCGCGCUCUGCCCCCUCAUCGCCGACCUCUUCGGCAAGCCCCUCGCCCUUUCCGGCCUCCUCGCUCCAUACGACGCCGCGCGAGCCGCCCAAGAAGCCGGCGGCGAGGGCGACGACGAGGAGACCGCGAGCCUCAUGCGCUGGCUGGACGAGCAGCCGGCGAGGUCGGUGCUCUACGUCGCGUUCGGGAGCGAGGCGCCGCUGACCCCGGACAACGUGCGCGAGCUGGCGGCCGGGCUGGAGCUGUCCGGCGCGCGGUUCCUCUGGGCGCUGCGGGAGACCAGCGCCCCGCUGCUCCCCGACGACGGGUUCCAGGAGCGCGUGGCCGGGCGCGGCGUCGUGCGCGCCGGGUGGGUGCCGCAGGUGCGCGUGCUGGCGCACGGCGCGGUGGGCGCGUUCCUGACGCACGCCGGGUGGAGCUCGCUCAUGGAGAGCUUCCUGUUCGGGCACCCGCUGGUGAUGCUCCCGCUGUUCGCCGACCAGGGCCUCACGGCGCGCGUCAUGGCGGCGAGGGGGGUCGGGCUGGAGGUGCCCAGGGACGGGCGCGACGGCUCGUUCGGCCGGGCCGACCUCGCCAGCACGGUGCGGCGGGUGAUGGCGCGGGAGGACGAGGAAGGGAGGGCGCUCGCGCGCAACGCCAGGGAGUUCCAGGAGAUGCUCUGCGACCGGGCCAAGCAGGAGGAGUACGUCGACGAGCUCGUGGAGCACCUGCGGCGGCUGCCAUAG